rnacentral:rRNA from 1 species
UGAGGAAUAUUGGUCAAUGGGCGAAAGCCUGAACCAGCCAUGUCGCGUGCAGGAUGACGGCCCUACGGGUUGUAAACUGCUUUUGUACGGGAAGAAAAAAUGCUACGUGUAGCAUCUUGCCGGUACCGUACGAAUAAGGAUCGGCUAACUCCGUGCCAGCAGCCGCGGUAAUACGGAGGAUCCGAGCGUUAUCCGGAUUUAUUGGGUUUAAAGGGUGCGUAGGCGGGAGAUUAAGUCAGUGGUGAAAGUUUGCGGCUCAACCGUAAAAUUGCCAUUGAUACUGGUUUUCUUGAGUACAGUUGAGGUAGGCGGAAUGUGGUGUGUAGCGGUGAAAUGCAUAGAUAUACCACAGAACACCGAUUGCGAAGGCAGCUUACUAAAGUGUAACUGACGCUGAGGCACGAAAGCGUGGGGAUCAAACA